ACUCAAAUGAAUAGACGGGGGCUCACACAAGCGGUGGAGCAUGUGGCUUAAUUCGAGGCUACGCGCAGAACCUUAUCCCGGGCUUGACAUGCACGGAUUAGCCGGCGGAAACGUCGGCAAGGCCGCAAGGUACAACGUGCACAGGUGCUGCAUGGCUGUCGUCAGCUCGUGUCGUGAGAUGUUGGGUUAAGUCCCGUAACGAGCGAAACCCCUGCCCCUAGUUGCCAGCACGUCAUGGUGGGAACUCUAGGGGGACCGCCGGCGUCAAGCCGGAGGAAGGCGGGGACGACGUCAAGUCCUCAUGGCCCUUAUGCCCGGGGCUGCACACGUGCUACAAUGGGCCGGACAGAGCGACGCCAAGGCGCAAGCCCCAGCCAAUCGCAAAAACCGGCCCCCAGUUCGGAUUGCGGGCUGCAACCCGCCCGCAUGAAGCCGGAAUCGCUAGUAAUCGCGGAUCAGCACUGCCGCGGUGAAUGGGUUCCUGAGCCUUGUACACACCGCCCGU
rnacentral:rRNA from 1 species